UACAGAGGUCUCAAGCGUUGUUCGGAUUCAUUGGGCGUAAAGGGUGCGUAGGUGGCGCCGUAAGUCGGGUGUGAAAUUUCGGAGCUUAACUCCGAAACUGCAUUCGAUACUGCGGUGCUUGAGGACUGGAGAGGAGACUGGAAUUCAUGGUGUAGCAGUGAAAUGCGUAGAGAUCAUGAGGAAGACCAGUGGCGAAGGCGGGUCUCUGGACAGUUCCUGACACUGAGGCACGAAGGCCAGGGGAGGCAAACGGG
rnacentral:rRNA from 1 species